GUAGGAUGGCAUUUAGCUUUCGCUUAAUUGUGAGGAAAGUCCGCCCACAGUAAAUAUCACUCUCAUUUUGAGAGAUCCUGAAAAGGAUGGCUACGGCUCAGAAACGAAACCACCUAACAAAUGGAAUGAUGAGGCGAAUCAAUAGGUGACUGUUGAGAGUUAACCCUCUGACGACUUUUUGGGAAGGGUUGAAACGGCAAGUCCUGAUUUGUGCAAGUCGAAUGACGCUUAGUAGAAUGCUAAAACAAACCUUCCAUUAAUGGGGUUUGACAAAAGGCGGCUUAUAACCAUUCUAC
rnacentral:RNase_P_RNA from 1 species